AACGAACGCUGGCGGCAGGCUUAACACAUGCAAGUCGAACGGUUGUAGCAAUACAGCAGUGGCGCACGGGUGAGUAACGCGUGGAUAUCUGCCUUUUGGUUCGGAAUAACUCCGGGAAACUGGAGCUAAUACCGGAUGGUUCCUACGGGAUAAAGAUUUAUCGCCAAAAGAUGAGUCCGCGUACGAUUAGCUAGUUGGCGGGGUAAUGGCCCACCAAGGCGACGAUCGUUAGCUGGUCUGAGAGGACGAUCAGCCACACUGGGACUGAGACACUGCACAGACUCCUACGGGAGGCAGCAGUGGGGAAUAUUGGACAAGGGGGGCAACCCUGAUCCAGCCAUGCCGCGUGAGUGAUGAAGGCCUUCGGGUUGUAAAGCUCUAUUGGCGGGGACGAUGAUGACGGUACCCGCAGAAUAAGCCCCGGCUAACUUCGUGCCAGCCGCCGCGGUAAAAC
rnacentral:rRNA from 1 species